CCUACGGGAGGCAGCAGUGGGGAAUAUUGGGCAAUGGGCGCAAGCCUGACCCAGCAACGCCGCGUGAAGGAAGAAGGCUUUCGGGUUGUAAACUUCUUUUCUGAGGGACGAAGAAAGUGACGGUACCUCAGGAAUAAGCCACGGCUACCUUCGUGCCAGCAGCCGCGGUACUACGUAGGUGGCAAGCGUUAUCCGGAUUUAUUGGGUGUAAAAGACGUGUAGGCGGGAAAGCAAGUCAUAUGUGAAAACUCAGGGCUGAACCCUGAGCCUGCAUUUGAAACUGUUUUUCUUGAGUGCUGGAGAGGCAAUCGGAAUUCCGGGUGUAGCGGUGAAAUGCGUAGAUAUACGGAGGAACACCAGUGGCGAAGGCGGAUUGCUGGACAGUAACUGACGCUGAGGCGCGAAAGCGUGGGGAGCAAACAGGAUUAGAUACCCUAGUAGUC
rnacentral:rRNA from 1 species